rnacentral:tRNA from 1 species
GGGGGUGUAGCUCAGUGAUAGAGCACAUGCCUAGCACGUACAAGGCCCUGGGUUCAAUCCCCAGCACCUCCA